GUCAGGCCUGAGGCACGGCAGGCGCUGGGCGUUCGCCUCUGGUGCCGCAGAGCGGUGCCACUGGGGCUCGGCUUUCGUCGGGACCCCAGAUUUACGACGUGGGGCUUACCUCUGAGCCCUGGGUUUACGUCAGGACCCGAGUUUACGGCUGAGCCUGCUUUACAACGUGGGGCGUUAGACAAGGGCUUUAGUCAGGUGACGGUGUCCGGCCCCAUACCACGCCCUGAGUUCCCACAAGACCGUGCCCAUCGGAGGGCCAAGGGGCGAGCUCUGCAGAGGCAGAGGCGACCCUCUGGGGCCCCAGCAGCUUCCCGGUCUCUACCAGGUAUUUAUUGAGAUAUAAUUGACAUACAGCCCUGUAUAUGCUUAAGGUGUACAGCAUAGUGAUUUGACUUACAUAUGGAGCAUGCAGUGAUGAUUACAAUAAAUUUAGCGAACAUCCAAUUAUAAGCUCUCGCUCCAACUCAGGCUUGAUGGGCAAAAAUGAUGUUUGACGCUGUGUACACAUCUGGUCACUGCUGACAUUAAGUGCUCUGAAAAUCCAUCCUUGUUGACAGUGG
ensembl:lncRNA